rnacentral:tRNA from 1 species
GGACUGCUAGCUCAGUCGGUUAGAGCGUCGUGCUAAUAACGCGAAGGUCGUAGGUUCGAUCCCUGCGCAGGCCA